UAACGGAAAUUUAAUGACGUG
rnacentral:siRNA from 1 species